rnacentral:rRNA from 1 species
UACGUAGGGUGCAGGCGUUAAUCGGAAUUACUGGGCGUAAAGCGUGCGCAGGCGGUCUGCUAAGAGAGGUGUCGGAAAUCCCCGGGCUUAACCUGGGAACUGCGCUUCUAACUGGCAGGCUUGAGUGUGGCAGAGGGGGGUGGAAUUCCACGUGUAGCAGGUGAAAUGCGUAGAGAUGUGGAGGAACGCCGAUGGCGAAGGCAGCCCCCUGGGCUAACACUGACGCUCAUGCACGAAAGCGUGGGGAGCAAACAGGGA